rnacentral:rRNA from 1 species
AUUGAACGCUGGCGGCAUGCUUUACACAUGCAAGUCGAACGGUAACAGGCCGCAAGGUGCUGACGAGUGGCGAACGGGUGAGUAAUGCAUCGGAACGUGCCCAGUCGUGGGGGAUAACGCAGCGAAAGCUGCGCUAAUACCGCAUACGAUCUCUGGAUGAAAGCGGGGGACCGAAAGGCCUCGCGCGAUUGGAGCGUCCGGUGUCAGAUUAGGUAGUUGGUGGGGUAAAGGCCCACCAAGCCAACGAUCUGUAGCUGGUCUGAGAGGACGACCAGCCACACUGGGACUGAGACACGGCCCAGACUCCUACGGGAGGCAGCAGUGGGGAAUUUUGGACAAUGGGCGCAAGCCUGAUCCAGCAAUGCCGCGUGCAGGAAGAAGGCCUUCGGGUUGUAAACUGCUUUUGUACGGAACGAAACGGUCCGGGCUAAUACCCUGGGCUAAUGACGGUACCGUAAGAAUAAGCACCGGCUAACUACGUGCCAGCAGCCGCCGUAAGAC